rnacentral:rRNA from 1 species
UACGGAGGGUGCAAGCGUUAAUCGGAAUUACUGGGCGUAAAGCGUGCGUAGGUGGUUCGUUAAGUCCGUUUGUGAAAGCCCCCGAGCUCAACUUGGGAAUUGCAGUGGAUACUGGCGAGCUAGAGUGCGGUAGAGGAAGGUGGAAUUCCCGGUGUAGCGGUGAAAUGCGUAGAGAUCGGGAGGAACACCAGUGGCGAAGGCGGCCUUCUGGACCAGCACUGACACUCAAGCACGAAAGCGUGGGGAGCAAACAGG